rnacentral:rRNA from 1 species
GGACGAACGCUGGCGGCGUGCCUAAUACAUGCAAGUCGAGCGGACCUUUUAAAAGCUUGCUUUUGAAAGGUCAGCGGCGGACGGGUGAGUAACACGUGGGCAACCUGCCUGUAAGACUGGGAUAACUUCGGGAAACCGGAGCUAAUACCGGAUAAUAUAAGGAACCUCCUGGUUCUUUAUUGAAAGAUGGUUUCGGCUAUCACUUACAGAUGGGCCCGCGGCGCAUUAGCUAGUUGGUGAGGUAACGGCUCACCAAGGCGACGAUGCGUAGCCGACCUGAGAGGGUGAUCGGCCACACUGGGACUGAGACACGGCCCAGACUCCUACGGGAGGCAGCAGUAGGGAAUCUUCCACAAUGGACGAAAGUCUGAUGGAGCAACGCCGCGUGAGCGAUGAAGGCCUUCGGGUCGUAAAGCUCUGUUGUUAGGGAAGAACAAGUGCGAGAGUAACUGCUCGCACCUUGACGGUACCUAACCAGAAAGCCACGGCUAACUACGU